rnacentral:rRNA from 1 species
AAUCAACGCUGGCGGCGUGCCUCAGACAUGCAAGUCGAACGAUUAAAGCUCUCUUCGGAGAGUGCAUAAAGUGGCGCACGGGUGAGUAACACGUAAGUAAUCUACCUUCGAGUGGGGAAUAACGUCCGGAAACGGACGCUAAUACCGCAUAAUGCAGCGGCAUCGCAAGAUGACAGUUGUUAAAGAUUUAUCGCUUGAAGAGGAGCUUGCGGCAGAUUAGCUAGUUGGUAAGGUAAUGGCUUACCAAGGCUACGAUCUGUAACCGGUCUAAGAGGACGGUCGGUCACACUGACACUGAAUAACGGGUCAGACUCCUACGGGAGGCAGCAGUCGGGAAUUUUGGGCAAUGGGCGAAAGCCUGACCCCAGCAACGCCGCGUGAAGGAUGAAGUAUUUCGGU